rnacentral:misc_RNA from 1 species
UGUGGUCUGGUCAACAUACUUUAGCCACGUUAUUGUGACUCAUCGCCUGCACAACAAAUAAGUCUCCCCCAACUGUAAUUUACAGAAAACGUGAAGUUAACAACUGGUCGAGAAGCGAGCAACUCCAGCCAUCAUAACAAUCUCCUCAGCACCUUGAAGCAGCAUGUCUCUCUCCUCCUCAGAUCAUCUGAAUGGCGCUAGGAAGAGAUUAGAGGAAGCUCUUGGUCCUGAUAAGAAAACUAAAUAUUUUUAUCAUAUGAAGCAAUGGUUCAGGAUGAGGGUAACAAAAGAAGAGUUUGAUAAGAGUGCCCGCGAUCUCUUGCCACUAAAUUCAGUACACUUGCAUAACGAGUUUCUUCUAGCUAUCCUCACCAAGUGCCAGCUCUUUACUUCCUCCUCCUCUUCGAGUUCCCGAUCUGACACCCACCAUCGUCAUGAUGAUCUGCGUAUGGACUCGGGAGGAGGAACUUCAGGAUCUCGUGACCAUGCCUCUGUUAAUGUUUAUUAUAUACCGUCUGAACGCAAGAAACUCAAGCCAAAAAAGAAAAUGAAAGCUACACGACCUCCCCAAGAUAAUAAUUUUGAAGCAGUGACUGUUCAAGAUAUUGCAGCCACAGCUACACUACAUGAACCACAAGCCAUCACAGAUGCAGGCGCUGGGUACAUGUCUCGUUCUCUGUGCUUGCUCGACACUGGACCUCUCAAGGGUCGUUUACUGCUAGCAGCUUGGGACCACGGUAUUACACAAGUUGCAGAUAAUGUAGCAAAUAUGCUUCAAGAAGCAACGCAGCAAUGUUUAAAGAACGUACUGAUGGCAGUGAUAAGCAGACGAAGAGGAUACCGUAUUAGAGAAGGACGCUUUAUGCACUCAUUGGGCACCACUCCUCCAAAUCCUUGGUUGAGAAACACAGCUUCUCUUAAUGACUGGGCAUCUGAAAGUUUGGGACUCCCAACUGGGGAGUGCGGUGAAGCCGGAGAUCGUCCCAUAUGGCCAACUGUAGACUCUGCUGAGCAAAAUGCUGCCCACUUGGCUGCUUGUGCUCCUCAAACAGAUAAUCCACUACCACCAAUUAGUUGUAUGGAUCUUUUAGAAGCUCUCCAGGUUCAAAAGAGUGCUUUACCAUGUCACUCGGUGUACGCGCUUGGGAUGGAGAGAAUAUCUUCCCGUUUGUGGCAUCCUGGCUGGGGGGAGGUGGAGCAGGAAGCCAUUGCUGUUCAAGAGGCUUCACUAAGAGAGACAUUGAAGGAGCAUAGACUGGCGGCAAAUCCUGUUACCUGAUAUAUUUUUAAAGGUACAGUAAAUAAUAGGCCAUAAAUUAUUAUUUGUAUUAUGAGGAGAAAGUUAUUUGAACAACAAUUUUUUUUAGCGUUGAAUGUACGGUACUUUCUUUAAACUAUUUUAAAUACCGUACUGCUUAAAAAAAUUAAAGUUCUUGAAACUUUAAAUAAAAUACUCAAUAUGUGGUGUAUACAGUAGUUUUUUAAGUAAAUUUGAUUACAGUUCUAAGUAUUUCCCUUAUUUUUUAUUUUAUUUUUUACUUUUCUGAUAUACUGUACAACAUAUAGCUUGUGAAGGAUAUAAUGAACAAAUGACACUUUAAUUAUUCACCGAGUGGAGAAGGCACACACACACAAUUUUGUUAAAGUGUUUAUGGCAUUUAUAUACUGUACUUGGGAAAGCAUUUGCCAAAGUGAAUCGAGGAUCUUCUGGCAUGUAUGAUAAGCAUGCAUGGAUUUGUUGGAAUGUUGUUGAUGGUUUUAAAUGAUGAUUAACUCCUACAUGCCAAAUUUAGUGUAUUUAGGGACCUGUUUGAUAUCAAUGUUAGGAAUACACCAGGGCUAUAUAAUGUCCCAAAGAUUGUUCAGUUUAUGCUGUAUAUAGGUGAAGUCAUCAAGUCAAGCAAAGAACACUAGAAAUGUGUUUAAAUUUAAUUAUAAUAAUCUAAAACUGUUGAAAAGAAAGAUGGUUAGCUAUAUAUGAAUAAUAAAUUGCAUAUUAAAUGUGACCUAUCCUGUAGCCUUCCUCCUACUUUUGUAACAGGAAAUAUCUCUGGCUAGGGACAUUUAUGUAUUGACUAUAUGCAGUUAACUCAUUGGUUCCUGAUGGAUCAAAGACUGCAACACACAAGCAGGUGAAUGUACCUCUGAACACAGCAGGCUGCACAAAACUAGUGCCAGUUGUGAACGUACAUGGUAAGGACGUGAUGAUGUGGCUGAUUAAAAUAAAAAGCAGGGACAAGGGCGACUGAACCAUUGUAAAGGCAGAUAGCAAGGCAGGUAUUCCAGACGCCGAACCCCCAACCUAGACCACUUGUCAAAUUAGAGCAUACGCUGCCAUGACUUGUGACCUAAGCACAACCUCAACUAAGUUGCAAGGCCCAUAACACACUCAUGAGCAGGGCCGACACUGUAGGUAGGUCUUUACCCAGUACAAGUACAAUAUACAGUCAGAAGACUUUACUCUUCAUCAACAGGCCCAUAGAGAACAAGUUUUGGGUGUAUUUGGUGGGAUAUAGGAAAAUGCAAGCCAAUCCAAAGAAAGAGCACCCUGAUCACAGUCUCAGCAAAACUGUAAUGCUAGAGCAUUUGCAAUUUAAGUGGCAUAAAUAUAAUUGUGAACUAGAAACAAAAACAGAGUAAUGGUUCCUGGCAACACUAACAUCCCAGGAAAAGCCAGCACCACUUACCUGAAAAUGAAAAGCCGACGAUGGGCUGUUAUCUGGCAGCUGUUAGGCGCAUAACGUUACCUCGUGGCAAUGGCCGUUUGCCUAGUUUUCCUAGAGGUGCCUAAUUUUCUUCAAGCAGCCACUUAAUUUGUUGCCGUUAUGGUUUUUGGUGGCAUUUUCCCUACUUUUGGGUCAAUCUCUAAUCUCCAAGUUCCUCUCACUUUGUAGAAAAAGUCAGGUUUUAGUCCUGGGUUAAGGUAGGCAACAGAUGGAACUGAAGAUUACUGGUGUGUUUAGCCGAGGCACAGUGGUACCCGAGCUAAGUUUGAGGAGCUAUUGAGGGGACCCUCCUAUAUUUUAUAUACUGUACCCCAGGUCAUUGACAAAGUAUUACAAAUCGGCAUUUAUUGUGUUCCAUAAACAUUUUGUUUUAUAAAUAAAGUUGUGAAGUUAAAUCACUUUCUUUCAAUGUUUUUAUCUGGUACAUUACCAGUAUGGAAUCGUAAACUAUACAAAAAUUAAUAUACAGUACUGUAACUAUUUUUAAUACAAUCUAUAAAACUGUGCUAAUAGUGUACCAUAUAGUAUAAUGUAAAAUAUAAUAAUGUAAAUUUUAUAUUUUGCAUUAUUAAAGACCUUGGUAGAAUUUGGAUGCAAAAAAAUUAUUACUUUUUGUUUUUUUUUGAGACUAUACACAGAAUUAAAUAUGAUCCAUGUAUUAUAUUCCAAGAAAAAUGGAAUGGAUUGGAAUGGAACUGUAGAUUAACCAAGGUAAAAAUACAAGUUGUAAUAUCAUUUGUUUUGGAAAACAAGUACUGUACUGUACAAUAUUUAUAUUUACGGUACCAAGCUUACUAACAUAUUCAUGGCAUAGCAUUAUUAGUAAUUAUUGUCACGUCUUAUAUUCAGCUAUUAGCGCAAGGGGGCACAGUGGUAAAACACUCACCCGGCGCUUUGGUCUGGGUUUGUAUCCUGGCCGGGAAAGAUUGACUGGGUGCCAAUCCUUAAAACCUCUGUUCAUCCAGCAGUGAAUGGGUACCUGGUUAUUAAACGAUUUGGGAGGCCAUAUUCCGGGGGAAAAUUAGGAUUAAGGACCUGCCCGAAAUGCUAUGCGUGCUAGUGGCUGUACAAGAAUGUAAGAACUCUUGUACCGUAUAUAUAAACAAAAAUAAACAAAUAAAUAGAUAAAAUAAAAGGUUUAUUAUAGAAUAAGAGUUUACCUGAUUACAUAAAUUUACUUACAGUUGGCAGUAGAAAAUCUUGUGUAUACCAUGAAUGCUAGCAUCAGGAUUCAAUGUUUUCAUUUUACAAUGGAAAGGCAAAUGAUAAUUAAACAAAGAACGACAACUGAGGCUACAUAAUCUACUGAAGCUGCCCACUGAUGCUUUCGGUGCUGCACAUCGCUACUUCAAGGUUAUACAAAAAUUAAAAGCAAAUUUUGCUUUUUUGAGUUUUUAAUGUUGUUGAUCCCUCAAUAAGUCUCAGUACAAGCCUAAACAGACUGUUUGCUUACGUUUCUUGUUAAAAUUGGCACAUGGUUUGAUCCGUAAGUGGGUAACACAUUUCAUAGCUUUUCGUGGUUAAAAUUACUGUAGCUCUCAAGAUGCAGCAGUUAUAAUUUCUUAAGCUUUAGUGUAGUUUUAAUAUACAAUGUUACAUACAGUACUUGUACAGUAGUUAUAAAUGUAAAUUUAAAAAACACAAUUGCUGAUUACCAAAUGAGUGACUAAAUAAGUACACUAUAAAGAGAGAUAAUGUAAGUACUGUACAGGGCUGUACUGUAUUUUCAUUUAUUUUACACUUCAAAUAUGUUUGAAAAGAAUGUGAGUCAAAUAUAGUUGAAUUUAUGUAAAGACGUACAACAGCAAGUUAUUCAUUUAUCUGUGUUAUUUCAAUAUGAAUAUGAGUAGCAACUAUUAUAAAAAAAAAUAACUAUCAAAAGAAUACAUUAUGCUUGGAAGACCACACAGCACCAUUUGUGUCAGAAUAAUCAAUAGUUCCUAGGUAUCAUUCAGGAUGCCAAUAUAGGAGCAGAAAGACAUAGGAUGGAGAUGUCAAAGGAAUCAGAAUCACUGAGGAUUUUAUUGAGGAACAGAUGACUUAUUUAGUUAGAUCUAGAUCUCCACUCCAUCAGGUGCCUAUGAGAUAAUCAUGUUAGACCAACAUGUAAGAUGAUGUCUUGACCUGUUAAAGUAGAAGAUAUAAAUAUACUGUACAUACAUACAUUCAUACUUAUGUACAGCAUAUGUAUGUCUUGUAGACAUACAUAUGCUGUAUGUCCAUAAGACAUAUGUCUUCAGUCUAUAGCACUGAACUAUAAGUUUAACAGAUCUCUCACCCUGUCCAUGGUGGACAGAAGAAAAUGUAUAUAUGUUGUUCAGCAUUGUAAAUGUGUGGCCACAUCUGUGGUAGAAAAAACUUUACGAGGCAGGAGUUAGAACUGAUAUUAUUAGCAAAUUUUUCCACAAGUAACAUUGAACUUAAUAGGACAAUAUUUAGAUGCCAGUGAUCUACAGUAUCUGCCUUUUUAAAACUGGUAUUACAUUAGCUACUUACCACAACUCUAGAACAAUGCAAAACUUUAAUGAUUUAUUUAAUGUACCUGACAAAUUGAGAAAAAUGAAAGGAAGAACCUAAUAAAAAAAAAUACUUUCUCAGAGCCUCGGGACCCGUUGGUCUUUAAUUUAAUAUUUAUUCACUUUUUACUUGUUAAUUAGUAUGUAGUUUUAACAUCUGUCUUCACUCCCUCCAUAAAUGUAUUAAAUUUCUGGCAUACUGGCUGACCCCUCACAGUGUUCAAGAGAGAACUGGAUAAGCACCUCCAAAGGAUACCUGAUCAACCAGGCUGUGACUCAUACGUCAGGCUGCGAGCAGCCGCGUCUAACAGCCUGGUUGAUCAGUCCAGCAACCAGGAGGCCUGGUCGACGACCGGGCCGCGGGGACACUAAGCCCCGGAAGCACCUCAAGGUAACCUCAAGGUAAGGUACUGUAAAGUUCUUCUCUAGUAGAUUGUGAUAAAAUACCAUUUUUUCAUCAUCUGUUAGAAGUCUGACUGUUUUCAAUGGCCCAGUCCUUUCUCUUAUCCUUGCUUUGAUACAUCUGGAAGAACUCUGGUAUUUAACUGCCAUUUGUAUCUACGGUAUUUGGCAAAAUAUGAUUUACUCCCCCCUAAUGUGAUGAAUACCCAUUUGAGCUUAGCAAUACUGAGUAAACUAUUUUCCGUUUCAUGACUCGUCUAAAAGGAGUGAAGGAAACUACUGUACAUCAAACUCAAUUAGAAAUAAAUUAAGAGAACUUUAUCUUAAUUGUGCUCAAUAGCAUUUCUAGAGCCUUACCUUCUUGUACUGCCGUAUCACCAGCCCAUCCUCCUGUUUUAGUAGUACUUAAAGUAACGAUGAGGACCAUAGUAUAUAUACCGACGUGCAACAAAAUUAAUAAGUAGAAAUCGGCACUACUGAAUUGGACAAAUCGAAAAACGAUUUUCUACUUAUGUUGCAAAGACAAAUUAAACUAACCUAACCUUCCUAGGCCUAAUACAAGAUAUGAGGCCUAAUAGUACAUGUGCUAUACUAGGCCUAGGAAUAUUUAAGUGUUUUCUUGUUGCUACAUUUUUUCCGUGACUAUAAAGUGAAUAGUACAAAGUUCUACUAUCUAAUUGCUUAGAACAGCAGUCUUUAUACUAUGGUGCACAUAGUUACAAACUACUAUUUAACAGAAGAAUGGGUUGGCAUCACACCCUUCAAGGAAAGUCUUUAAAAUCAUGAUUAUUAAUAGGCAUUUUAAGUCCUACUGAUGACAGAUGUGUUAAUUAAACUGUGUGUCUGGAGUAAUUUUGAUCCAGGAUAGUCCCAGAAUAUGUUCGUGUAGAAUGCCGAGGACGCACAAAUUUCUAUAACUUCACGGAGAGAUUAGUUAGUAGUUCUUCUGACUGUCUUAUCAUACUAAUUUUGUAAUAUAAAUUAUGCCAAUGUC